UAUGAUUCUUGUAGUUUCUUGAGGAAUCAUCAUUUCUAGUGGCCGCGACAGGAAGCCGAUCGAUUGUUAAAGGUCUCCCCAUUAUUCCUGAGUAAUUUUUAUUGCUUAUUUUUAAGCUGAAGUAUUGUCUCCGUUUUAUUACGACUUUGGCAAGUAGGCUGUUCCACGGGAUUUAUUUCCUUGCGGGUGAAAGGAUCUGUUUUCUGUCCUACAUUGAAGCUUGUUGAGCUUGAAGCUGUUGCUCCUUGUAUAUGUUACAUUGAACCCUAGAACGAAGUGGUCUGGAGUAAUAUCCUCCAACUUGUUCAAUAUUUUAUCUCGAAAAAAAAUCAACCUGGUCAUGUUCGGCUUGAAGUGAGAAUGUCCUUAUAGCGCAGUGGUAAAACGCUCGCCCGGCGCUUAUACCGGGCUUCGUAUCCUGGCCGGGAAAGGAUUGACUGAGCGCUAAUCCUUAACUGUAGCCUCUGUUUACCCCAGCAGUGAAUGUAAACGAUUUGGAGAGUCGUAUUCCUGGGAAAAUUAAGAUAAAGGAUCUGCCCGAAACGCUAUGCGCGCUAGUGACUUUACAAGACUGUAAGAACUCUUGUAUGUUAGUCCUUAUGCCCUCCACUGUUCUUAGUAUGAUAAUUAACUUAGUUCUGGGAUGAUUUUUGUAUUCUGUCUCCCAUCCAUUUGCUUGCUGGUCGGUGCAGGGUCUGCGUUCAAUUCUGAAUGUCCAAACUGUGUAAGGUACCUCCAUGUGAACCUGUGUGUAUUUGACGGCGGAGUUUCCGUGUGCGUACUUCUGGUGGGAAGGAGGCGUGGGGUUUGAACCAGGGUCGACUUCCUGAAGUUCCUGGAGACAGUUUCCCAGCCAAGAGCUGAGAGGACGGAGGUUCUCCCGACGCUGCUGCUGCUGCUGGCGUUCGCCGCCACCCGCACCUCUACAUACUCCUCGCGGCUCCAUGGUUCACAGUGACAAGAGGAAGCGAUCGUGGUAGCUGACAGAGGCGGAACCGUACUAGGAACAACCUCAACAAGGCCGAUAGGUGCCUCCCACAGCCAUGUUACCUAUCAUCCAGGUCAUCCUGCUGCGUCUGUUUCUUCUGCCGACGCUGAUGCUCCUUCCUGGAAUUGCUGUGGAAGGUGGUCUAAUGAUGGGCAACGGCCGACUACGGAACCCGGAAAUGUGGAUGCUCGCCCAGAGAGACCACACAGCACCCAAGGAAUCGCAGACACUUGAGAAGCAACAUGUAGGUGCUUCUCACCCACAGACGUCGAAGCAUCCUCCGCCUGUACUGGGGCAGGAGACAGCCCCAUCCCUGAGGUCAGCCGGGGUCACCCUGUGGCUGCUAGAAACGCUGGUCAUGCAAAUAUAUAGAGUUUUCUUAACAAGAUACCCUUCAAAAUCUUCUGCAGUCCGGCCCGCGACUAUUGACCAGUCUAACUGGAAGACCCUUGACCUCUCAGGUGUGACAGGCGGCAGAGGGUUAGAGGUCAACCGGCAAAUUAUACCGAUCACUUCUUUCGAUACUUGGCUGUUGGCGUUCCAGGAAACCUUCAAGAGGGACAUGAUUUUCAACACGGUGAGAGUAGGAGGAUUAAUUUUGCUAUACUAUUUUGCUCCAGAUCUUUUCAAAUUGAUACAUAAUAGAAACGAAUUAGGGUGA